rnacentral:rRNA from 1 species
UAAGGAAUAUUGGUCAAUGGACGCAAGUCUGAACCAGCCAUGCCGCGUGAAGGAUGAAGGUCCUCUGGAUUGUAAACUUCUUUUAUCUGGGACGAAAACGGGAUUUUUAUCUCAAUUGACGGUACCAGAGGAAUAAGCACCGGCUAACUCCGUGCCAGCAGCCGCGGUAAUACGGAGGGUGCGAGCGUUAUCCGGAUUUACUGGGUUUAAAGGGUGCGUAGGUGGGCUUAUAAGUCAGUGGUGAAAUCUCCGAGCUUAACUUGGAAACUGCCGUUGAUACUAUAGGUCUUGAAUUAUCUGGAGGUAAGCGGAAUAUGUCAUGUAGCGGGGAAAUGCUUAGAUAUGACAUAGAACACCAAUUGCGAAGGCAGCUUACUACAUAUAAAUUGACGCUGAGGCACGAAAGCGUGGGGAUCAAACA